rnacentral:rRNA from 1 species
GGUGAUCCGUGGUGCCGAGAAAUGCUUCGGCGUCAGGCGCGUUGCCGCCCGUACCCCAAACCGACACUGGUGGUCAGGUAGAGAAUACCAAAGCGAUCGAGCGAAUCCUGGUCAAGGAACUCGGCAAAUUGCUCCCGUGCCUUCGGCAUAAGGGAGACCCCCUGCGGUGAUGAGCGGCGGGGGGUGGCACAGGCCAGGGGGUAGCGACUGUUUACCAAAAACACAGGAGCGUGCGAAGGCGCAAGCCGCUGUAUACGCUCUGACGCCUGCCCGGUGCCGGAAAGUUAAGAGGAUCCGUCAGCUUCUGCGAAGCGGUGAAUUCAAGCCCCGGUAAACGGCGGUGGUAACAAUAACCAUCCUAAGGUAGCGAAAUUCCUUGUCGGGUAAGUUCCGACCUGCGCGAAUGGCGUAACGACUUCCCCACUGUCUCGACCAGGAGCUCGGCGAAAUUGCAGUACGAGUAAAGAUGCUCGUUAAGCGCAGAAGGACGAAAAGACCCCGGGACCUUUACUAUACCUUGGUAUUGGCAUUAGGCGCGGAUUGUGUAGCAUAGGCGGGAGGCUUCGAGGCGGGUGCGCCAGCAUCCGCGGAGCCGCAAGGUGAAAUACCGCUCUGUUCUCGUUUGAUGUCUAACCUCGAACAGUCAUCCUGUUCAGGGACAGUGCCUGGCGGGUAGUUCAACUGGGGCGGUUGCCUCCCAAAGAGUAACGGAGGCGCUCAAAGGUCCGCUCGGCCCGGUUGGCAAUCGGGUGUCGAGUGUAAUCGCACAAGCGGGCUUGACUGCGAGAUCGACGGAUCGAGCAGGGACGAAAGUCGGAGAUAGUGAUCCGGUGCCGGCGCACGGGCGCGGCAUCGCUCAACGGAUAAAAGGUACCCCGGGGAUAACAGGCUGAUCAUUCCCAAGAGUCCAUAUCGACGGGAUGGUUUGGCACCUCGAUGUCGGCUCGUCGCAUCCUGGGGCUGGAGCAGGUCCCAAGGGUUCGGCUGUUCGCCGAUCAAAGCGGCACGCGAGCUGGGUCCAGAACGUCGUGAGACAGUUUGGUCUCUAUCCUCUGCGCUCGUUGGAAUCUUGAGGAGGCCUGCCCAUAGUACGAGAGGACCUGGGUGGACGAACCUCUGGUAUGCCGGUCGUCACGCCAGUGGCGCGGCCGGUUGGCUACGUUCGGAAGGGAUAACCGCUGAAAGCAUCUAAGCGGGAAGCCUUCUCCAAGAUAAGGAUUCCAUGCC